AUUGAACGCUGGCGGCAUGCCUUACACAUGCAAGUCGAACGGCAGCACGGGGCAACCUGGUGGCGAGUGGCGAACGGGUGAGUAAUGCAUCGGAACGUGCCAUUGAGUGGGGGAUAACGUAGCGAAAGUUGCGCUAAUACCGCAUAUUCUGUGAGCAGGAAAGCAGGGGACCGCAAGGCCUUGCGCUCUUUGAGCGGCCGAUGUCAGAUUAGCUAGUUGGUGAGGUAACGGCUUACCAAGGCGACGAUCUGUAGCGGGGUCUGAGAGGGAUGAUCCGCCACACUGGACUGGAGACACGGUCCAGGACUCCUACGGGAGGCAGCAUGGGGAAUUUUUGGACAAUGGGCGCAAGCCUGAUCCAGCCAUGCCCGCGUGAGUGGAAGAA
rnacentral:rRNA from 1 species